AUUAGACAUUAUUCCAGAUGAACAAUGCCAUAGAUAAUGGAGGAACAGAGGACAGCUUGAAGUCUUUUGUCUUUGGUUUUCGAAUUACCAUAUAUUUCCUCUUUCUCCCUCACCCCAACCUAAUUGAUUAUGUUCCAUUUAGUUCUUUGAACACAACUCUAAUACUGUGUGUGUGUGUGUGUGUGUGUGUGUGUUAUACCUCAGGGAAGAGAGCGAGAGUGUACUGACCCUCAAAGGGCUCACCCCAACUGGAACACUACCUCUAGGAGUGUUGUCUGGAGGCAAGCAGACCUUACAGCAUGCAGCCAUAGAAGCAAAGGAGGGUCGAGCCAUCCAAGGCUUCUCUCCUACACGGAAAAUCCGCAACUUCGAAGAAGCUCGUGGCCUGGACCGAAUAAACGAACGGAUGCCUCCUCGGAAGGACGGCCAGCAACCUGACGGUACCACAGUUAACGCUGCCAACGAGAAAAACGGCACUGAUGGGAAUGUGUAAGGGGAGAUUUUGCACUCUUCCUCUGCUCCAUAGCAUUUUCUCUUUCUCUGCCACGUUCUCCACAAGAUAGACCCCUCAACUGCCGGAUCCUGCAGAGGAGGGCCUGAGAUGUGGAGAGGAAUCAUUCCACAAGACAGAGAGAGAAAUCACUUACAACUAAGUACAAACAUGAGAUUUUAUUUAUUAAAUGAAAUGUAUUAGAUGUACUAGAUAGCAACAUUUUAAAGACGAGUGAACAUUUGAAAGUGUGCAAAAAGCAGGUAUACAGUCACAAUGUGUCAACUUUUAAACUUCAACUACAGUUUUGUAACUCGAGAACAGAGAUGUGGGUUCAAGAUGGUGUACAGAUCAGAAGAUCUAGUUAAUCCCAGUUUUAUAAUAUUUUAUGUCACAAUGUAUUUGGCAAGGGAUGGUUUGAAUAUACUGAUGUAUGUUAUCAAUAAAUGUCUGUAAGGGAUUUAUUAAGACAAACCAAAAUUAAGGGGAAUGUUCAUCGAAACAUAUUUUAUAUAACUGUUUAAUAAUAUUCAGUUUCAAGUAAGAUUCAGACUAAAUGAACAUAGCUGCUUUGGGUUCCACAUGUCUAUUUCUACGUGGAAAAACUAGCAUUUAUAUUCAUUUUUGUCCGAUUACAGCCAGAUGACACCACAUGUAAGUAGCCACAACAUUGAUCUUAAAUGGGAGUUGCUUGAUUCUACUUGCAUGAGUGAAAAAAGCAAAAACAAAGCAUGUCUUUUGAAAGCACUGUCACAAUCACAAUCUAACGUUUGCAUCUGUACUGGAAGUUAUUUUAGUCUCUUUAGAACUAUCAUUGGGCGAACUUUCAGACAAGACUUACUUUUCCUCAUUUCGUGUCUGCCACACUUAUCUUAUUGAUGUUUCUUCAAAAAGAUGAUAGAUUGCCACGCAACAAACCAGUUUUAUUUGUUAAUAUAUACAGUGAAAUUUGUUAGCAUGCCUAUAAGCUCAUGUAGACGUGUAACAGCCAAUGUGGGACGUGUGAAGUUGCUUUGAUCGACUCAAAAGCCAAAGUCUCUUUUUUUGUGCUGUGAUGAGUUUGCUGCCAGAGCUCUAACCAACCCCAUUUUAGGGUAUGAUGAGGAGGUAAUGGGGUCAGUCUGAAGAAUAUUGCACUAAAUGCAAGUCAUUGUAAAUAGAGAACACCUAUACGUAACACGUAAAAAGCAGGAAGUCCUAUUCUCUCUAAAGAAUGUCCUCCAGGCUUAAUGCAAAGUAUUCAUCUUUCACUGAGAGACUGCUCGUACAGAGUACACAGACUAUCGAUUUCAUCCAGUUUUUGCUCGAGACAUUAACAAAGCAUGCUGAGCUUGAUAAAUGUGUCACAAACUGACUUGGUGGUUUGAGCUGUAACACUAUGUGAGGUAUUGUGGUAAGGUUUUUACAUGGCUGCUUGUUUUAACAGGUUUAGGGAAAAUUGUGGUAUGUGUCCACCUACUGUUGAGAUACAGAUAUAGAACUUUAAGAGACUGGAGGAAGAGCAUUAAGCCUUUUAAUGCAUGUUUUUAUUCUUUUUAACAGGAGCAGCAGGUUUUGAUUUUUUGAUGGUGUUAAAUGUCUGAUGCUAUGCACGAGCAACGCACCCCAUUUUCUGGAAGCAUUUGAAAUGUACAUUUUAGACAUCAGUUAAUUUUGUAAAAUGUUUUUGUGUGUGUGUUUAUUUUAUUUUUUAAAUGCAGAACCAGUUCUUCACACGAGAUUGAUUUAAAA